rnacentral:rRNA from 1 species
UCCUACGGGGGGCAGCAGUGAGGAAUUUUCCGCAAUGGGCGAAAGCCUGACGGAGCAAUACCGCGUGGAGGAUGACGGCCUUCGGGUUGUAAACUCCUUUUAAAUGGGAAGAUUAUGACGGUACCAUUUGAAUAAGCAUCGGCUAACUACGUGCCAGCAGCCGCGGUAAUACGUAGGAUGCAAGCGUUAUCCGGAAUUACUGGGCGUAAAGCGUGUGUAGGUGGCUUUUUAAGUUAAAUGUUAAAUCUACAGGCUCAACUUGUAGACCGCAUUUAAUACUGGAAGGCUUGAGGAUGGAAGAGGUAUGCGGAAUUAGUGGUGGAGCGGUGAAAUGCGUAGAUAUCACUAAGAACACCAAUGGCGAAGGCAGCAUACUGGGCCAUUCCUGACACUGAGACACGAAAGCGUGGGGAGCGAACAGGAUUAGAUACCCUGGUAGUCCU